CAGUCGCCGCGGAAUACGGAGGAUCCAAGCGUUAUCCGGAAUCAUUGGGUUUAAAGGGUCCGUAGGCGGUCUUGUAAGUCAGUGGUGAAAGCCCAUCGCUCAACGGUGGAACGGCCAUUGAUACUGCAGGACUUGAAUUAUUGGGAAGUAACUAGAAUAUGUAGUGUAGCGGUGAAAUGCUUAGAGAUUACAUGGAAUACCAAUUGCGAAGGCAGGUUACUACCAAUUGAUUGACGCUGAUGGACGAAAGCGUGGGUAGCGAACAGGAUUAGAUACCCGGGUAGUCCCUGUCUCUUAUACA
rnacentral:rRNA from 1 species